rnacentral:rRNA from 1 species
GCCGUGGGCGUUGGAGAAUUGAUUGGGGCUGCUCCUAGUACGAGAGGACCGGAGUGGACGCAUCACUGGUGUUCCGGUUGUGUCGCCAGACGCAUUGCCGGGUAGCUACAUGCGGAAGAGAUAAGUGCUGAAAGCAUCUAAGCACGAAACUUGCCAAGAGAUGAGUUCUCCCACACAUAAAGUGUGUAAGGGUUGUUUAAGACUAAGACGUAGAUAGGUGCGGUGUGUAAGUGUAGUGAUACAUUGAGCUAACGCAUACUAAUUGCCCGAGAGGCUUAGCCAU